AGUGAACGCUGCGGUAGGCCUAACACAUGCAAGUCGAACGGCAGCACAGGAGAGCUUGCUCUCUGGGUGGCGAGUGGCGGACGGGUGAGGAAUACAUCGGAAUCUACUCUGUCGUGGGGGAUAACGUAGGGAAACUUACGCUAAUACCGCAUACGACCUACGGGUGAAAGCAGGGGACCUUCGGGCCUUGCGCGAUUGAAUGAGCCGAUGUCGGAUUAGCUAGUUGGCGGGGUAAAGGCCCACCAAGGCGACGAUCCGUAGCUGGUCUGAGAGGAUGAUCAGCCACACUGGAACUGAGAAACGGUCCAGACUCCUACGGGAGGCAGCAGUGGGGAAUAUUGGACAAUGGGCGCAAGCCUGAUCCAGCCAUACCGCGUGGGUGAAGAAGGCCUUCGGGUUGUAGAGCCCUUUUGUUGGGAAAGAAAUCCAGCUGGCUAAUACCCGGUUGGGAUGACGGUACCCAAAGAAUAAGCACCGGCUAACUUCGUGCCAGCCGCCGCCGUAA
rnacentral:rRNA from 1 species